UACGUAGGGGGCGAGCGUUACCCGGAUUCAUUGGGCGUAAAGCGCGCGUAGGCGGCCGCCUAAGCGGAACCUCUAACCCCGGGGCUCAACCUCGGGCCGGGUUCCGGACUGGGCGGCUCGAGUGCGGUAGAGGAGAGCGGAAUUCCCGGUGUAGCGGUGGAAUGCGCAGAUAUCGGGAAGAACACCGAUGGCGAAGGCAGCUCUCUGGGCCGUCACUGACGCUGAGGCGCGAAAGCUGGGGGAGCGAACAGG
rnacentral:rRNA from 1 species